UUUACAGAAUAACAAAGAAAAAUACAACGCGCUCUGUCUUUCGGUCUAACGAGCGUGAGGUUAACCUAGGGAGGAGGGAUGUACGGAAAUAUCUAUUGGUCUAGGACUCGAAGACCUUCGAGCGAUGCACGGGGUCGUUUGAUCUGGAUGCGGGGCGUCGGGACGCAAGGUUACAGCGGUCGUCGGGUCAGCAACACCACGGCCGUCCCUCCCGCUUUUCCCUUUCCACCCUGGCUGCCAUCCCUCGUCCUCUCGCCGCCCUCGCCAAGCUCGAUAAUAGAUGUUUCUACGAAUGUUUCACCUGACAGUUUCUGACGACAAUCAUCUGCAACUGUGUCUGCUGAGACAUCAAUAUAGAUCUACUCUAACGUCAAUACAAU